rnacentral:rRNA from 1 species
UACGUAGGGUGCAAGCGUUGUCCGGAAUUAUUGGGCGUAAAGAGCUCGUAGGCGGUCUGUCGCGUCGGCUGUGAAAACCCGGGGCUCAACCCCGGGCCUGCAGUCGAUACGGGCAGACUAGAGUGCGGUAGGGGAGACUGGAAUUCUCGGUGUAGCGGUGAAAUGCGUAGAUAUCGAGAGGAACACCUGCGGCGAAGGCGGGUUGCUGGGCUGACACUGACGCUGAUUGUGCGAAAGCUAGGGGAGCGAACGGG